rnacentral:tRNA from 1 species
GGAGGCGUACCUCGUCUGGUGACGGGCGCGGUCCUCAAAACCGUUGUGGCCGGGCAUCCCGGCCAGGCGGGUUCGAUUCCCGUCCGCCUCCGCCA